GAUGAACGCUGGCGGCGUGCCUAAUACAUGCAAGUCGAGCGAACAGAUGAGGAGCUUGCUCCUCUGACGUUAGCGGCGGACGGGUGAGUAACACGUGGAUAACCUACCUAUAAGACUGGGAUAACUUCGGGAAACCGGAGCUAAUACCGGAUAAUAUAUUGAACCGCAUGGUUCAAUAGUGAAAGACGGUUUUGCUGUCACUUAUAGAUGGAUCCGCGCCGCAUUAGCUAGUUGGUAAGGUAACGGCUUACCAAGGCAACGAUGCGUAGCCGACCUGAGAGGGUGAUCGGCCACACUGGAAGUGAGACACGGUCCAGACUCCUACGGGAGGCAGCAGUAGGGAAUCUUCCGCAAUGGGCGAAAGCUUGACGGAGCAACGCCGCGUGAGUGAUGAAGGUCUUCGGAUCGUAAAACUCUGUUAUUAGGGAAGAACAAAUGUGUAAGUAACUAUGCACGUCUUGACGGUACCUAAUCAGAAAGCCACGGCUAACUACGUG
rnacentral:rRNA from 1 species